AUCCUGAAUUGUAACCUGUUACCUCCCUAAUAAACCCCAUAACUGUCACUAUGAAUGGGAGUUGACUUGAUGGCAGCUAUCUAUCAACUCACUGCUUGAUUGCCGACACAGGACAAAUGAAAGGUUGGAGUCAUCUAGAACAUCAAGAGGUGGAACAGGGAUACUGAGGCUCUGCCUGGCGGAGACUGACUCAGGCUCCUCUCCUGUACUUAUCUCCCUGACAUCAGUGGUGGAACAGAUGCUACAGUUUCAGGAGCAAGAAUGCACCUGCAGGUGCCGGAAACCACGGAUGAUCCCUAAGCAAGAGGCUGUAACUAUACCCUUGAACCUGUGUGCCAGAAUUCCCAAGGGCCUGGUGGGAUGGAUUGUACCUUCCCCAUAUCUGUCAAAAUUGGGGUUAACAGUGAAUACUGCCAUGUUGCUUAGUGGUCAAAACAGCCCACUAGUGUUCUACCUAUGUAACCCUAUCCAAUAUAAAUGGGAGUGCACUGAGGGGGAAGAACUUGCUAGACUGGUUUUGCUACCAGCAAUUUGGACUGGCACAGUAGCUGAACCUGAUGUCCCUUCCCAAGGUGGAAAAGUUUGGGUAAAAAUAAAUGACAAAUAGAAGGAAAGCUGAAGGUAAAGGAAUGAAUAAAUUGGUUAUGCAGUGGGGGAAUUCUAACAUUAUGCUUAUACAUUGAGAGAGACUAAGAGCAAAGGAAUAAUCUUCUUUCAGUUAAAUUUUAUCAGAGGCCAGAGAGAGUAAAGCUGAGACAACUUUUAGAGAACCUGACCUGAUCAGAUGGAUACCUGCAGCAGACCUGAAUAGCUGGUACCUGAGUAACCUCACCCUCAGGACUCUGUCCUUCUGAAAGACUAAUUGUUAAUGAGUGUUUUGGACUGUUGAAAUGAUUGGGAGGGGUAGGUUAUCCUCCAAGUAUGAAAGAACCAUGGCUGGAAAAGCCAGGGGGUGGCUUUCAG